rnacentral:ncRNA from 20 species
GAACUUAAUAUUUGUUAUGGUUUAUUCAUUUAAUUAAUAGGGAAGACGGUGCAAGUCCGUCACAACCGCCAUUACUGUAAACAGUUAUAGCCUUGGCUCAUGCCAUUGGGAAACCGAGAAGGCGCCUUGGCUGCUUUAAUGCAGACUGUAAGUCAGGAGACCUGCCAUAACAUAGUUUGAAAAA